CUUUUUUAUUUUCCAAGGAAAUCCAUGAAGCCUAGUGCACACUUUACGAUUCCGUCAUCAGAGACAAAUCUUGGGAGUUGUGCAAAACAUUGUCAGCAUUUUUGCAAGAGCUUACUUGAGUUUGUGCAGCAUCAUUUCAAUUUGAAGAAAUAAAGGAGCAGUAAGUGAUUGGAGUAAAAUCCAAUCUCAAGUGGUCAAAGGAGACACAUGCCAGGUGAAAUGGCUGCCAGGUGUAAACAGCAGUCUGUCUCACCUGCAUCACUCAGAACGGAUGUUCAAUAGCAGGUGUAAACAUAGUCAAAGCACAGUCAGGGCUGAAAUUUGUUCCACCCUUGGAACAUUCCUCAUUAUGAGCACUACCCAACAUUAUUGUGGGAAGGAAAGAUAGAUGCAUGAACAUCCAUGAGUAGGACACAGCUGUUGCAUUUAGUGGUUAUUUGUACUGUACUAGUGAGUAUUUGUGUUGUUUGCUUUAAAAAAAUAAAACUAUAAAUGUGCUCUAUAAUAAGAACAUAAACCAGUUACAUCCAGCAUCCAAUUAUGCCUACUUUUCUACUAUAAAACAGUAUAUAAAAUGAAUAGGGUGUCUGAAUCCACAGUAUUCAUUAAACAGUAUGCAAGAAAUACCCAAAAUGACCUACUACAUCCUGCAAGAUUCUAAAGUGCACAUCCACUGAACACCUUACUAUUCCAAAAGACCAUGGUAACUAAGGUGACAUCAUAUUCA